GCCGGCGUGGCGGAAUGGCAGACGCGUUCGACUCAAAAUCGAAUGGGAAACCGUGGAGGUUCGAGUCAUCUCGCCGGUACCA
rnacentral:tRNA from 1 species